rnacentral:rRNA from 1 species
AGCUCAACUUUGUAAUCUGGCUGUCUUUGGCAGUCCGAGUUGUAGUCUAGAGAAGUGUUAUCCGCGCAGACCCUUAUAGAUUUCGGUUGGAAUGCCAAGUCAAAGAGGGUGAGAAUCCCGUAUUUGAUAAGGUGGUCUUGUGCAUUGUGAUACAUUUUCAAAGAGUCGAGUUGUUUGGGAAUGCAGCUCAAAGUGGGUGGUAAAUUCCAUCUAAAGCUAAAUAUUGGCGAGAGACCGAUAGCGAACAAGUACCGUGAGGGAAAGAUGAAAAGCACUUUGGAAAGAGAAUGAAAUAGUACCUGAAAUUGCUGAAAGGGAAACGAGUGAAGUUAGACUUGCGCAGUUGGUAUUCAGCCUUGGCUUCGGUCUUGGUGCAUUUGCCUUCUAUUGCAGGCCAACAUCAGUUUACUUUGCGGUAAAAGGGUUUGGGGAAUGUGGCUUCUUCGGGAGUGUUAUAGCCCUUUACUGGAUGCCGAAUCGUAGACUGAGGAACGCAGCGCGCCUUUAUGGCAAGGCUUUCAAGCCUCGAGCGCUUAGGAUGUUGGUAGAAUAGCUUUACACGACCCGUCUUGAAACACGGACCAAGGAGUCUAACAUGCUUGCGAGUGUUUGGGUGUCAAACCCGAGCGCGGAAUGAAAGUGAAUGCAGG